GGCUGGUCCAAAGGUAGUAAAUUAUCUCAGUUGAUUGUUUACAGUUACAGACCAAACUCCUUGUUCUACUCUUUCCCCCUCCUCACCAUUACCGCAAUUGACUAGUCUUAA
rnacentral:Y_RNA from 1 species